AACGAACGCUGGCGGCAUGCCUAACACAUGCAAGUCGAACGAUCCCUUCGGGGAUAGUGGCGCACGGGUGCGUAACGCGUGGGAACCUGCCCUUAGGUUCGGAAUAACUCAGAGAAAUUUGAGCUAAUACCGGAUAAUGUCUUCGGACCAAAGAUUUAUCGCCUUUGGAUGGGCCCGCGUUGGAUUAGCUAGUUGGUGGGGUAAAGGCCUACCAAGGCGGCGAUCCAUAGCUGGCCUGAGAGGAUGAUCAGCCACACUGGGACUGAGACACGGCCCAGACUCCUACGGGAGGCAGCAGUGGGGAAUAUUGGACAAUGGGCGAAAGCCUGAUCCAGCAAUGCCGCGUGAGUGAUGAAGGCCUUAGGGUUGUAAAGCUCUUUUACCCGGGAUGAUAAUGACAGUACCGGGAGAAUAAGCCCCGGCUAACUCCGU
rnacentral:rRNA from 1 species